CCUCUCUCGCCAUCCCAGACAAGAGACUGCAAGGUGAGGCUUUACCUUUGAGGAUGGAGGCCUCUGAGGACUGGCAGAGGACUGGGGACAGACUGGGAAGAAAGGCAGAGUCAUUGUCAAGAGGAAAUGAGGUAAUCAACGUGAAAGCUGGCUCUCAGCUGUACAGGCAACACCAGUGACUGAGAAGGUCGUGGACUGCAGAUGGUGCAGCCUUGGUCGGUGAAGAACCUGUCAUCCGAGUGGCUGAGUCACCACAUGGAGAACACUCAUCUGGAACACUGUCGGGUCUGUUGUAGAUACUGUGUGAACAAGAAACAAAACUUUAAGUCACUGAGGUGGUGGAGUUAUUUAUUACUGCAGCAUAGCUCAGACUCUCCUGACUAACAAGGUGCUCAAUAAACAUUAGC